rnacentral:rRNA from 1 species
UGCCAGCAGCCGCGGUAAUACGAAGGGGGCUAGCGUUGUUCGGAUUUACUGGGCGUAAAGCGCACGUAGGCGGAUUGUUAAGUCGGGGGUGAAAUCCUGGAGCUCAACUCCAGAAUUGCCUUCGAUACUGGCUUUCUAGAGGCUGGAAGAGGUUAGUGGAAUUCCCAGUGUAGAGGUGAAAUUCGUAGAUAUUGGGAAGAACACCAGUGGCGAAGGCGGCUAACUGGUCCAGAUCUGACGCUGAGGUGCGAAAGCUAGGGGAGCAAACGGGAUUAGAUA